rnacentral:rRNA from 1 species
GAUGAACGCUGGCGGCGUGCCUAAUACAUGCAAGUCGAGCGAACAGACGAGGAGCUUGCUCCUCUUACGUUAGCGGCGGACGGGUGAGUAACACGUGGAUAACCUACCUAUAAGACUGGGAUAACUUCGGGAAACCGGAGCCAAUACCGGAUCAGAUAUUGAACCGCAUGGUUCAAUAGUGAUAGCCGGUUUUGCUGUCACUAAUAGAUGGAUCCAGGCCGGAUUAGGUAGGUGGUAAGGUAACGGCCUACCAAGGCGACGCUGCGUGACCGACCUGAGAGGAGGGACCGGCACAACGGGACUGAAAAACGGGCCCGAAUCCUAAGGGAAGCCAGAGGGAGGAAAACUUGCGCAUGGGGCGAAGGCCUGUCCGAGCAACGCGGGGGGAGUGAGGAGGGCCUCCGAAUCGUAAAACUCUGUUAUUGGGAAAGAACAAAUGUGUAAGUAACUAUGCUCGUCUUGACGGUACCUAAGCAGAAAGCCACGCCUAAUUACGG